GUUUCAGUUAUAGUUUGUACUGUGUGAGACACAAGGGCUGCAGGAUGAGGCUGUGGAUGCUUCUGGUGUCCCUGCAGCUGCAUAUAGUGACCACACAGGACACAGUGUCAGAGGACAUCGGCGUCCAUCAGCUGGAGCGUUUAGUGGAGUUAUUGACGUCUACAGAGUGUGAGAAGCUCCUCUCAGCUCUUUCUCAGCCUGAGGAGGACAUCUUUAAACGUCUGGAGCGACUCUCAGCAGAGAAGAAUACACUGGAUGUGAAAGUUUACAGAACCAAGAGAGACGUCUCAUCUGCUACUGACAGGAAGAAGAAGCGUUGCCGUGACGACCUGACAAACUGGCUGCUUAAGAACGGAGUAAAGAUCUACUACGACAGGCUUUCCCGAGCCUUGUAUCACAUCGGAAGAACGGACGUCGCCAUUGAAUUGGGGAAAAACAUCAACCAGCAGAAGGCGCUGAACCUGAAACGCUACGUCGAAGAUUACGUCAAAUACGUCGACUCUUUGAAGGCUCCGUCGAUUAAACUAAACAACAACAAGAGUCGAAGGAUCAAGAAAAGAAAAGUCAGGAACCUGGACUGGCGUGAGCUGGAUCUGAUCGUGCAGUGGGUUCCGGCCCCACCGUACGAGAAGGGCCCUCUGGACGGAGCUUUGCUCAUUUUUGUCGGAAUGCUCGUCGGAUUUGGGGGAAUUUUUCUUGCCGGGACAUCGUUAAUACUCAUCAGUGCUUACUUCUAUUGUUGAGGCCAUUCUGCUGGGCGGCCAUGUUUGUUUAUGUGUUUAUAAG
rnacentral:lncRNA from 1 species